AGCACAGAGCCUGAUGUGGGGCUUGAACCCACGAAUGUGAGAUUAUGGCCCAAGCCGGAGUUGGACGCUCAACCGAGCCACCCAGGCGCCCCAUGUGCUGGCUCAUUUCAGUCUUCACCAUUUUCCUGAGGGAGGCACCAUAACAUGUCCCAUGUUUAUUGACAAUUCCGUCUUUGUUGGUGCGUGUAGCCAUGUCACCGCAAACUAGGAGAUGGAAGAGCACACGUGUGA